rnacentral:rRNA from 1 species
UACGUAGGGUGCGAGCGUUAAUCGGAAUUACUGGGCGUAAAGCGUGCGCAGGCGGUGAUGUAAGACCGAUGUGAAAUCCCCGGGCUCAACCUGGGAACUGCAUUUGUGACUGCACAGCUGGAGUGCGGCAGAGGGGGAUGGAAUUCCGCGUGUAGCAGUGAAAUGCGUAGAUAUGCGGAGGAACACCGAUGGCGAAGGCAAUCCCCUGGGCCUGCACUGACGCUCAUGCACGAAAGCGUGGGGAGCAAACAGG